AAAUAAUGGGUCCUUUGUGAUAUAUGCAUAUACAUUCCUCUUCACUUUUCUUGGAGUUAAGAAUGAGGCUUCAGACAAGUGGACAGAGUAUCUACAACAAUAUCUAUGACAUGGUAUACAGUGGGGUCACAAAAGUGAAUCAGAUACAUGGUCUGCCUUCAAGGAGCUCACUAUUGAUAAAACAAGGAUAGACAGGAAUACAGGUAGCAAUAUGACCAGCUAAAGGACACCUUUUUAUAGCCCCCACUGCAACUAGACAUGGAAUUCAGAAAGCCUCCUUAAGAGACGGAUAGCCAGCUUGCAGGAUCUUCUUUUAGCUUCUCUCCUUUGUCUUGCUUCUUACCUGGAGCUCAAACAUAGUAGCUGGAGCUUCAGCAGCCAUAUUGGAUCCUGAGAAAAGCCUGAAAAUAGAAGCCAUGGCUACAAAAGACAAAGUAGGAAUAUAGGAAUAGGCUGGGUCUCUGAUGAUGUUGGCACCACCCUAUGAAAUCAAGACCACCCAUACCCAAAGUUCUUUUACCUGAGAGAAAAGCAGUUAAAGAUCCUGUGUUUCGGCUCUUGUUUGUUAGUAGCUUCCAAAUGUAAAUCCCAACUGAUACAAUUAUUAAUUGUGAAUAUAA